CUUUGUCAUAACAUGGAUGAUUUUGAUUGGUUGAUUGGAUCGUCUGCUUCAACAUGAUUAUACCUCGUGGUGUCUUGUGAGUUUCAUUGCAUUCUGAGAGCUGAUAAUGUGAGGUCGAGUCAGAGGAGUCACCAGCAUCUACACACAUGUCACGCAUCGAGCAGAUAGAUGUCUAGGAGUAGCUUCGUCUUAUAGACGGGGUAUUCUUCUUCUACCUCUUCCUGUGAUGUAAGGAAUAAACAGAUUCACACCCUACAGCAAGUCGUUGUUUCUCGGAGUUUAGCUGUUACACAGAUACCACAACCUAAUACAGUUUGUACAAGGACGUACAGAUACCACAACCUAAUACAGUUUGUACAAGGACGUACAGAUACCACAACCUAAUACAGUUUGUACAAGGACGUACAGAUACCACAACCUAAUGCAAUUGCUACACUGAUCCUACAGAUUGCAACACCGAUUGCAACACCGAUUGCAACACCGAUUGCUACUCCGAUUGCUACUCCGAUUCUACCGAUUGGUACUCCGAUUCUACCGAUUGGUACUCCGAUCCUACCGAUUGCUACUCCGAUCCUACCGAUUGCUACUCCGAUCCUACCGAUUGCUACUCCGAUCCUACCGAUUGCUACUCCGAUCCUACCGAUUGCUACUCCGAUCCUACCGAUUGCUACUCUGAUCCUACCGAUUGCUACAGAGGUACCCUAUUCCGGGCCAGGAUAGGUCCCUAGACAAACGCUGACCAAUUGCGUAGAUCGAUUGUCAUGCUGUUGAUCACUGGAUUGUCUGGUACAGACUCGAUUAUUUAUAGACGGCUACCAUCGUACACAACCAGUCAAGGUGUACAUCAAUUCUACUCUCUCCUACUUACUAAUUACCAUCUUAGUGUACAUCAACUCAUCUAUUGUAUAACGUUUUUAACUCAUUUGGGAUAUUGUUUUAAUCAUUAUCACUCUGCAAAUCAACUUACUCUGCUCAAAUCACUAUAGCUAUCCAAUGUAUAUCAACGUUGUCUCACUAUGCAGCUAUGUAUAUAUUCUCCAUGUUACAACUCUUUGUAUCACUUGCUUGAUAACGGUCGACUAUUCUACACUUAAGACCAUUCUAGAGUUAAGGUCACAACACACGUCGCUCUCAUUGCA